rnacentral:SRP_RNA from 1 species
GCCGGGCACGGCGGUGCGUGCCUGUCAUCCCAGUUACUCGGGAGGCUGAGGCUGGAGGAUCUCUUGAGUCCCAGGCGUUCUGGGCUGCAGUGUGCUAUGCUAAUCGGGUGUCCGCACUAAGUUCGGCAUCAAUAUGGUGACCUCCCAGGAGCGGGGGACCACCAGGUGGCCUAAGGAGGGGUGAACCAGCCCAGUUCGGAAACGGAGCAGGUCAAAACUCCCAUGCUGAUCAGUAGUGAGAUCACGCCUGUGAAUAGACAUUGCACUCCAGCCUGCGCAACAUAGCAAGACCCCGUCUCU